AACGGUGUAGCUCAGAGGAAGAGCGGUCUGCAGGGCAGAUGGGUCGGGGGUUCGAAUCCCCUCGCCGUUCCCA
rnacentral:tRNA from 1 species